rnacentral:rRNA from 1 species
CCUACGGGUGGCAGCAGUGGGGAAUAUUGCGCAAUGGGCGAAAGCCUGACGCAGCGACGCCGCGUGAGGGAUGAAGGUCUUCGGAUCGUAAACCUCUGUCAGCAGGGAAGAACGGUCACUGUGCUAAUCAGCAGUGACUUGACGGUACCUGCAAAGGAAGCACCGGCUAACUCCGUGCCAGCAGCCUCGGUAAUACGGGGGGUGCGAGCGUUAAUCGGAAUUACUGGGCGUAAAGCGCUCGUAGGCGGUAUGUCAAGUCAAGGGUGAAAUCCCCGCGCUCAACGUGGGAACUGCCUUUGAAACUGGCAAACUGGAGUGUGUGAGAGGAUAGUGGAAUGCCAGGUGUAGGAGUGAAAUCCGUAGAUAUCUGGAGGAACAUCAGUGGCGAAGGCGACUAUCUGGCACAUAACUGACGCUGAGGAGCGAAAGCGUGGGUAGCAAACAGGAUUAGAUACCCUAGUAGUC